CAGAGGUCCCAAGCGUUGUUCGGAUUCACUGGGCGUAAAGGGUGCGUAGGUAGUGGGGUAAGUUUGAUGUGAAAGCUCCGAGCUUAACUCGGAAAUGGCAUUGAAUACUAUCCUGCUUGAGGGUUGGAGGGGGGACUGGAAUUCUCGGUGUAGCAGUGAAAUGCGUAGAUAUCGAGAGGAACACCAGUGGCGAAGGCGAGUCCCUGGACAACUCCUGACACUGAGGCACGAAAGCUAGGGGAGCAAACAGGAUUAGAUACCCUGGUAGUCCUAGCCGUAAACGGUGCACGUUUGCUGUAAAAGGAAUCGACCCCUUUUGUGGCGUAGCCAACGCGUUAAACGUGCCGCCUGGGAAGUACGGUCGCAAGAUUA
rnacentral:rRNA from 1 species